rnacentral:misc_RNA from 1 species
UUGAAAACAAAUUUUGGUCAGAUGGCGUUUCUCUGGCUUUUCGGAGCGAGUGAAAGGCACACCUGACCAAUUUUUAAAACCAACCUGUGCAUUUUUUGUAAACCUGAUUAGUUUUUCGAGAUUUGAUUCUUGGACUGAGAAUUGCUUCGUAGCUUUUCUUGCAUCUUUUCAGGUUUAUGUUUCUUUUUAAACAUAUUAUGCUUGUUUAUUAGAAUGUUCUGUGUUAGACCUCAUGUGUCUUAAAUA